rnacentral:rRNA from 1 species
AGAGUUUGAUCAUGGCUCAGAUUGAACGCUGGCGGCAGGCCUAACACAUGCAAGUCGAGCGGGGAUUAUGGAAGAGCUUGCUCGGAAGUAAUCCUAGCGGCGGACGGGUGAGUAACGCGUGAGCAACCUGCCUUCAACAGGGGGAUAACGCAUCGAAAGAUGUGCUAAUACCGCGUAAGACCACGGGGUCACAUGGCCAUGGGGUCAAAGGAGCAAUCCGGUUGAAGAUGGGCUCGCGUCCGAUUAGCUAGUUGGUGAGAUAACAGCCCACCAAGGCGACGAUCGGUAGCCGACCUGAGAGGGUGAUCGGCCACAUUGGAACUGAGAAACGGUCCAGACUCCUACGGGAGGCAGCAGUGGGGAAUAUUGGGCAAUGGGGACCGAAAGCCUGACCCAGCAACGCCGCGUGAGGGAAGAAGGGUUUCGGCUCGUAAACCUCUGUCCUGAAGGGCGAAAGAGAUGACGGUACUUCAGGAGGAAGCCCCGGCUAACUACGUGCCAGCCGCCGC